UGGUGGGCCAGCUUAGUACGAGAGGAAUUGCUCAUUCAGAUAAUUGGUUUUUGCGGCUGUCCGACCGGGCAGUGCCGCGAAGCUACCAUCUGCUGGAUAAUGGCUGAACGCCUCUAAGUCAGAAUCCAUGCCAGAACGCGGUGAUACCACCCGCACGUAUAGAUGGACAAGAAUAGGCUCCGGCUUAGCGUCUUAGCAGGCGAUUCUUCCACGGCGCUCGAAGCGCGUCGUGGUAUUUCGCGUAUUGUAAUUUCAACACGAGCGGGGUCAAAUCCUUUGCAGACGACUUAUCUGUGCGAAACGGUCCUGUAAGCAGUAGAGUAUCCUUGUUGUUACGAUCUGCUGAGGGUAAGCCGUCCUUCGCCUAUAUUUCCC
rnacentral:rRNA from 1 species